GGAGAGGUGCCGGAGUGGCCGAACGGAGCUGCCUGCUAAGCAGUUGAUCUCGUAAGGGAUCCCAGGGUUCGAAUCCCUGCCUCUCCG
rnacentral:tRNA from 1 species